AGUUGAAAAACAACUGCCAACUACAUUACAUAAAAGUUGAAAUGGACGUGGAGUGUGGUGGCUCACACCUGUAAUCCCAGCACUUUGGGAAGCUGAGGCAGGCAGAUCACGAGGUGAUGAUUGGGACUGCUCUUAACACAAGCGAGAUGAAGAAACUGAUCACCCACAUGGGGGAGAUGGACCACCCCUGGAACUGUCCCCAUGGAAGGCCAACCAUGAGACACAUCGCCAACCUGGGUGUCAUUUCUCAGAACUGACCGUAGUCACUGUAUGGAAUAAUUGGUUUUAUCGCAGAUUUUUAUGUUUUGAAAGACAGAGUCUUCACUAACCUUUUUUGUUUUAAAAUGAAACCUGCUACUUAAAAAAAAUACACAUCACACCCAUUUAAAAGUGAUCUUGAGAACCUUUUCAAACCAGAUGGAGCAUUGCUUGCAAAUUUUUUUUCUCUAUGUUUGCAUGCGCUCGUGUGUGUGUGUCCAGGCAAGAACACAUUUUAUAAAAAUAAGAACACUUGGGCUGGGCAUGGUGGCUCAUGCCUGUGAUCGCAGCACUUUGGGAGGCCGAGGCCGGCAGAUCACCUGAGAUCAGAAGUUCGAGACCAGCCUGACCAACAUGGAGAAACCCUGCCUCUACUAAAAAUACAAAAUUAGCCAGGUGUGCUGGCGCAUGCCUGUAAUCCCCGCUACCCAGGAGGCUGAGGCAGGAGAAUCGCUUGAACCCGGGAGACGGAGGUUGCAGUGAACCGAGAUUGCGCCACUGCGCUCCAGCCUGGGUGAGAUAGAGCAAGACUGUGUCUCAAAAAACAAAACAAAACAAAACAAAACAAAAAAAACCAAACCACUUUGGAAGUUACUCAGGCCUCUGCUCUGGCUGGACAUAGUUUAGUCUAUAACUUUCAACCCUUAACAAUAAUUAAAUUCAUCUUUGUUUAAUUUCAUAAAUUUAAAAGUAGGGUCCUUUUCAGUUAGUGAUUCUCAGCCCUGAUUCACAUUAAAUUUUUAAACACGGGGGAUUCUCUGCCCGGCUGGAAGAAAAUGACUGGAUGGGACAGGGGUCACUAUUUGAAACAUUCCUCUGUGCGGCCAAGGUCGCAAAAUGCUGUCCUCGCAGGGGAACAAAAAGAGUUUGAUUUCCCAUAAUUUGAUGCUGUGAUUUGGUUUCCUCAGGAUGUGAACUGUAGAACAUUCCAGUUACUGGCCUUGAAUGGUUCUGGGAAUAUAAGAAUCCCUGUCUGUCUUUUCAAAUAGUUUUCAUGGAACCUUGUCCUGUUUGAACUUGGCUGAAAAUGGAAGUAAAGAUGCCCUCUUGGGGGCCCAGAGAUGACAGAUGUGGCUCCCCCUGCUGCCCCCACCCCUUCUCCAGACUGUGGGCGGCUCCCCUUCCUGCUUUAGAAUCCUUCAGAUGGAGGAGGCAGUACAGUAGUCACUGUGCCAUCGUGUCUGGCACUGUGCUGGCGUGGUCUGCAGGAUCCCACUUAUGAACUCUCCAGAUUGGGAGCUGUGGCAGGAUAACAGCCCCCAAGACAGCUGUGUCCUAAUCCCCAGAACCUGUGACCACGCUGCCUCACGUGGCAGAAGGGACUCGGCAGGUGUGAUUGAGUGAAGGAUCUUUUUUUUUUUUUUCUUUGAGAUGAAGUUUCGCUCUUGUUGCCCAGGCUGGAGUUCAAUAGCAUGAUCUCAGCUCACUGCAGCCUCUGCCUCCCAGGUUCAAGUGAUUCUCCCACCUCAGCCUCCCGAGUAGCUGGGAUUACAGGUGUCCAGAACCAUACUGGCUAAUUUUUGUAUUUUUAGUAGAGACAGGGUUUCACCAUGUUGACCAGGCUGGUCUCGAACUCCUGACCUCAGGUGAUCCGACCGCCUCGGCCUCCCAAAGUGCUGGGAUUACAGGUGUGAGCCAUCAUGCCUGGCUGAGUUAAGGAUCUUGCAACAGAGAGAUUAUCCUGGAUUGUCUGGGUGGGCCCAGUCCAUUGGGUGAGUCCUUCAAAGGUGGAGACCUUUCCCUGCUGGCCAGAGAGAGGCUGCCUUGCUGGUUUUGGAGAUGGAAGGAGGUACCACUAGUCAAGGAUUGCAAGCAGUCUCUAGAACAGGGAUUCCAACACUCCGGACACAGACCAGUAGUGGUCCAUGGCCUAUUAGGAAGUGGGGUGCACAGCAGGUUAGGGGCCGGCAAGCCAGCGAAGCUUCAUCUGUAUUUAUAGCCACUCCCCGUCGCUGGCGUUACCACCCGAGCUCCGCCUCCUGUCACAUCAGCGGUGGGCAUUAGAUUCUCAUAGCAGCACGAGCCCUAUUGUGAACUGCACACACGAGGGAUGUAGGUUGCACGCUCCUUAUGAGAAUCUGAUGCCUGAUGAUCUGUCACUGUCUCCCGUCACCCCCAGAUGGGGCUGUCUAGUUGCAGGAAAACAAGCUCAGGGCUCCCACUGAGUCUCUGUGAUGGUGAGUUGUAGAAUUAUUUAAUUAUAUGUUACAAUGUAAUAAUAGUAGAAAUAAAGUGCACAAUAAAUGCAAUGCACUUGAAUCGUCCUGAAACCAUCCCUCCCCGACCCCAAUCCAUGGAAAAAUUGUGUUCCGCGAAACCGGUCUCUGGUGCCAAAAAGGUUGGGGACCGCUUCUGGAAAAGCUGGAAAAGGCAAGAAAACGCAUUCUCUCCCUCAGCCUCUGGAAGGAACCAGCACUGUGGGACUAAUUUACAUACUGUAGGGUAAUAAAUUUGUGUUGCUUCGAACC
rnacentral:lncRNA from 10 species